rnacentral:rRNA from 1 species
CCUACGGGAGGCAGCAGUGGGGAAUAUUGCACAAUGGGGGAAACCCUGAUGCAGCGACGCCGCGUGAGUGAAGAAGUAUCUCGGUAUGUAAAGCCCUAUCAGCAGGGAAGAAAGAAAUGACGGUACCUGACUAAGAAGCCCCGGCUAACUACGAGCCAGCAGCCGCGGAAAUACGUAGGGGGCAAGCGUUAUCCGGAUUUACUGGGUGUAAAGGGAGCGUAGACGGCGAUGCAAGUCUGAAGUGAAAGGCGGGGGCCCAACCCCCGGACUGCUUUGGAAACUGUAUGGCUGGAGUGCAGGAGAGGUAAGUGGAAUUCCUAGUGUAGCGGUGAAAUGCGUAGAUAUUAGGAGGAACACCAGUGGCGAAGGCGGCUUACUGGACUGUAACUGACGUUGAGGCUCGAAAGCGUGGGGAGCAAACAGGAUUAGAUACCCCUGUAGUC